rnacentral:tRNA from 1 species
GCGGGCGUGAUGGAACCAGGAAAACAUGCGAGAUUUAGGUUCUCGUGCUCGAAAGAGCUUGUGGGUUCGAAUCCCACCGCCCGCA